AAAACAAAUCUUCUAGGUGAAUCUCAAAACGUUCGUUCAGACUAGUUCGGGGAAGUUUUUCUUCGCUGAUGUUAAGUCAGGGGAACUGUCACUUCUGUACCCUGGCAUUUCUUACAGCUGGGCAUAAGCAGUCACUCCCGCCGCUCCCAGCCGCCCGGGCUCCCGACCGUCUCUUAUAACUUCCAGUCAUGUGCUUGAUGUCUGCGGAAAAGAGAAAGUAGGACCAGAAAUUCAAGUCAGCUCUGCUCCAUACUAUCUAAUCGCCCAGUCAAGGCGAUUUCGUAUGUUAAGCAACAUCAACGAGUUGCAUGACGCACUUUCUCCUCGGUCAGGAAAAGCUCCGUACCCAUCGCAACAUCCUGUUUUGUUUUUUUCUGAUGCACCUCUUCAGGGUGAGAGCAAAAGCCCAGAUGGGAACAAGCAGUCAGAAAGCCACAAGUCUGAUCCAGCCCCAGAAGUCUGAUCCUGCCUCUCUCCUGUUCUACCUGCAAACCUAGGAAAAGGAGAAGAGGUGAGGUGAUGCUAUUUACAACCAGCUGUGCCCCACAGAGGCAUGUGAUAUUGUUAAUUCUCCCAAGUGAGUCUCAAGUACCCAGGGGUCAGUGAUGUAAGGGAAAAGAUUUGAUGCCUGACCUAGAGGAAAAUUAAAUUACUUCUUCCUGAUUUGUAGAGGUUACUUCUCUUACCUUCAUCACAGAAUCUCUGGAGGUUUUUUUUCUGGGCUGGGAUUUUGCCUCCCCCAAGAAGCAGCCUAAGGUUCAGUCCCUCAAAAUUACCCAGAAACACGAAAUCAGCACCUGUAAUGCUGAAUGGGCUGGAAGGCACUAAGAGUCUUGUCAGGAACUUGAGGAGAACUAAGAGAACUUCCAUUAAGGCUUCUAAUUAUGUGUUUAACAAAAAUAUGGCCUAGGAUCCAAACAAGGAUGAAUUAACUGCUGUGUCUCCUCAUUCAUGUUUGGUAAAGACAACAAGCUGUUCCUGUAGAAUGCAUUUUAGAAGCCAAGUCUUUCUGAUAUUGCUCUGUACGUGCUUCCUGCAGUUUCAGUAAAGUAUUUCUAGUGGUCUGAUCUUAACAUAUGCCUAAUCAUCUCCUGGUCUUCCCCCAUUGCCUUAAAAAGUAAGAACAGAAAUUUUCCUCCAAAACAAAAAUAUUAGAGUUUGCCAAAAGCUUUCCAGUGACUAAGUUCUGUUUAGGUAGACUUUUUUGUAGUAGUAGUAGGAUGGAUCAUAGUCUUAUUUCUAUAGUGGCACUACUUCUUAGCUGGUUAGCAUAAAAAUUCAUAGAGGUUGACUUUUGAAGCCAUAUAGAGCUGAUCUUUGUUUCACUUCUGCACAUUUAGUUUUUGUUUUAUUGCUAAUAGAUUUUCAUCACAGUGUGCAAAGUUGUUUCCAAAUGUUUGAUGUCUUCAUUUAAUAGCACAAAUACAAUUUACUGUCCGUCAAAAAAGCCAAAAUUUUUUUAAAUGUAGUCAUGAUUUGUGAGAGUCUCCAUAAUGG
rnacentral:lncRNA from 1 species